UACGUAGGGGGCAAGCGUUGUCCGGAAUCAUUGGGCGUAAAGAGCGUGUAGGCGGCCAGAUAAGUCCGCUGUGAAAUCUCGAGGCUCAACUUCGAGCUGUCGGUGGAAACUGUCUGGCUAGAGUCCGGAAGAGGAGAAUGGAAUUCCUGGUGUAGCGGUGAAAUGCGCAGAUAUCAGGAAGAACACCCGUGGCGAAGGCGGUUCUCUCGGACGGUACUGACGCUGAGACGCGAAAGCGUGGGGAGCGAACAGG
rnacentral:rRNA from 1 species